rnacentral:rRNA from 1 species
AUUGAACGCUGGCGGCAUGCCUUACACAUGCAAGUCGAACGGCAGCACGGGAGCUUGCUCCUGGUGGCGAGUGGCGAACGGGUGAGUAAUACAUCGGAACGUACCCAGGAGUGGGGGAUAACGUAGCGAAAGUUACGCUAAUACCGCAUAUUCUGUGAGCAGGAAAGCGGGGGAUCGCAAGACCUCGCGCUCUUGGAGCGGCCGAUGUCGGAUUAGCUAGUUGGUGAGGUAAAAGCUCACCAAGGCGACGAUCCGUAGCAGGUCUGAGAGGAUGAGCUGCCACACUGGGACUGGGACACGGCCCAGACUCCUACGGGAGGCAGCAGUGGGGAAUUUUGGACAAUGGGGGCAACCCUGAUCCAGCCAUGCCGCGUGAGUGAAGAAGGCCUUCGGGUUGUAAAGCUCUUUCGGCGGGGAAGAAAUGGCAACGGCUAAUAUCCGUUGUUGAUGACGGUACCCGCAUAAGAAGCACCGGCUAACUACGUGCCAGCAGCCGCCGUAAUAC